AGCAGCCGCGGUAAUUCCAGCUCCAAUAGCGUAUAUUAAAGUUGUUGCAGUUAAAAAGCUCGUAGUUGAACUUCGGGGUUCACCCAUUGGUCAGGCUUAAUUGUCUGCACUGGUGAGAUGGGUCUCUACCUUCUGAGGAACUUUCAUGCCAUUUAUUUGGUGUGGUUGGAAAUCAGGACUGUUACUUUGAAAAAAUUAGAGUGUUUAAAGCAGGCUAACGUCUGAAUACAUUAGCAUGGAAUAAUGAAAUAGGGCGGACUGAUUCUAUUUCGUUGGUUUCUAGGAUCACCGUAAUGAUUAAUAGGGAUAGUUGGGGGCAUUAGUAUUCAAUUGUCAGAGGUGAAAUUCUUGGAUUUAUUGAAGACUAACUACUGCGAAAGCAUUUGCCAAGGAUGUUUCAUUAAUCAAGAACGAAAGUUAGGGGAUCGAAGACGAUCAGAUACCGUCGUAGUCUUAACCAUAAACUAUGCCGACUAGGGAUCGGACGAAGUUAAUUUUAUAAUGACGCGUUCGGCACCUU
rnacentral:rRNA from 1 species